rnacentral:rRNA from 1 species
CAGGCCUAACACAUGCAAGUCCAACGUGAAAGGGGAGCAAUCCCCCGGUAAGGUGGCGAACGGGUGAGUAAUACAUGGGAAUCUGCCCUGGAGAUGGGGAUAUCCUUCCGAAAGGGGGGCUAAUACCGAAUAUCGUCCGGGUUCCGGGAGGGACUCGGGGAAAGGGAGGCCUCUGGCAACAUGCUUCCGCUCCAGGAGGAGCCCAUGGCCCAUCAGCUAGUUGGUAGGGUAACGGCCUACCAAGGCGAAGACGGGUAGCUGGUCUGAGAGGACGAUCAGCCACACUGGCACUGAGACACGGGCCAGACUCCUACGGGAGGCAGCAGUGAGGAAUUUUGCGCAAUGGGGGCAACCCUGACGCAGCAACGCCGCGUGUGGGAAGAAGGCUUUCGGGUUGUAAACCACUUUUGUAAGGGACGAAGUCCUGCCGGUCAAUACCCGGCGGGGAUGACGGUACCUUGCGAAUAAGCCACGGCUAACUCUGUGCCAGCAGCCGCGGUAAGACAGGGGUGGCAAGCGUUGUUCGGAGUGACUGGGCGUAAAGGGUCUGUAGGUGGUUUUUCAAGUCUUUGUAAAAAGCCGUGGCUUAACCAUGGUGAGGCCAAGGAGACUGGGAGACUCGAGGCUGGGAGAGGGAAGCGGAAUUUCUGGUGUAGCGGUGAAAUGCGUAGAGAUCAGAAAGAAGGCCGGUGGCGAAGGCGGCUUCCUGGGAACAGACCUGACACUGAGAGACGAAAGCGUGGGGAGCAAACAGGAUUAGAUACCCUGGUAGUCCACGCCCUAAACGAUGGGGAACUAAGUGUGGGGAGCAAUCCCCGUGCCGCAGCUAACGCAAUAAGUUCCCCGCCUGGGGAAGUACGGCCGCAAGGUUGAAACUUCAAAGGAAUUGACGGGGGCCCGCCACAGCGGUGGUGCA